rnacentral:rRNA from 1 species
CCUGGGGAUAACAGGCUUAUCUCCCCCAAGAGUCCACAUCGACGGGGAGGUUUGGCACCUCGAUGUCGGCUCAUCCCAUCCUGGGGCUGUAGUAGGUCCCAAGGGUUGGGCUGUUCGCCCAUUAAAGUGGUACGCGAGCUGGGUUCAGAACGUCGUGGGACAGUUCGGUCCCUAUCCGUCGCAGGCGUAGGAAAUUUGAGAAGACCUGUCCUUAGUACGGGAGGACCGGGAUGGACGUACCUCUGGUGUACCAGUUGUCCUGCCAAGGGCAUGGCUGGGUAGCUAUGUACGGAAUGGAUAAGCGCUGAAAGCAUCUAAGCGCGAAGCCAACUUCAAGAUAAGAUUUC